AGUGAACGCUGGCGGUAGGCCUAACACAUGCAAGUCGAACGGCAGCACAGUAAGAGCUUGCUCUUACGGGUGGCGAGUGGCGGACGGGUGAGGAAUACAUCGGAAUCUACUUUUUCGUGGGGGAUAACGUAGGGAAACUUACGCUAAUACCGCAUACGACCUACGGGUGAAAGCAGGGGAUCUUCGGACCUUGCGCGAUUGAAUGAGCCGAUGUCGGAUUAGCUAGUUGGCGGGGUAAAGGCCCACCAAGGCGACGAUCCGUAGCUGGUCUGAGAGGAUGAUCAGCCACACUGGAACUGAUACACGGUCCAGACUCCUACGGGAGUCAGCAGUGGGGAAUAUUGGACGAUGGGCGCAAGCCUGAUCCAGCCAUACCGCGUGGGUGAAGAAGGCCUUCGGGUUGUAAAGCCCUUUUGUUGGGAAAGAAAAGCAGCAGGUUAAUACCCCGCUGUUCUGACGGUACCCAAAGAAUAAGCACCGGCUAACUUCGUG
rnacentral:rRNA from 1 species